rnacentral:rRNA from 1 species
GUGGCAGCAGCCGCGGUAAAACCAGCACCUCAAGUGGUCAGGAGGAUUAUUGGGCCUAAAGCAUCCGUAGCCGGCUUUGUAAGUUUUCGGUUAAAUCCAUAUGCUCAACAUAUGGGCUGCCGGAAAUACUGCAUAGCUAGGGAGUGGGAGAGGUAGACGGUACUCCGUAGGAAGGGGUAAAAUCCUUUGAUCUAUGGAUGACCACCUGUGGCGAAGGCGGUCUACCAGAACACGUCCGACGGUGAGGGAUGAAAGCUGGGGGAGCAAACCGGAUUAGAUACCCGGGUAGUCCCAGCUGUAAACUAUGCAAACUCAGUGAUGCAUUGGCUUGUGGCCAGUGCAGUGCCGCAGGGAAGCCGUUAAGUUUGCCGCCUGGGAAGUACGUACGCAAGUAUGAAACUUAAAGGAAUUGGCGGGGGAGCACCACAAGGGGUGAAGCCUGCGGUUCAAUUGGAGUCAACGCCAGAAAUCUUACCCGGAGAGACAGCAGAAUGAAGGUCAAGCUGAAGACUUUACCAGACAAGCUGAGAGGUGGUGCAUGGCCGUCGUCAGCUCGUGCCGUGAGAUGUCCUGUUAAGUCAGGUAACGAGCGAGAUCCCUGCCUCUAGUUGCCACCAUUACUCUCAGGAGUAGUGGGGCGAAUUAGAGGGACCGCUGCAGUUAAUGUGGAGGAAGGAAGGGGCCACGGCAGGUCAGUAUGCCCCGAAACUCUGGGGCCACACGCGGGCUGCAAUGGUAGUGACAAUGGGUCCCGAAUCCGAAAGGAGGAGGCAAUCCUCAAACGCUACCUCAGUUAUGAUUGAGGGCUGUAACUCGCCCUCAUGAAUAUGGAAUCCCUAGUAACUGCGUGUCAUUACCGCGCGGUGAAUACGUCCCUGCUCCUUGCACACACUGCCCGUC